rnacentral:rRNA from 1 species
UACGUAGGGUGCGAGCGUUGUCCGGAAUUACUGGGCGUAAAGAGCUCGUAGGUGGUUUGUCGCGUUGUUCGUGAAAACUCACAGCUCAACUGUGGGCGUGCGGGCGAUACGGGCAGACUGGAGUACUGCAGGGGAGACUGGAAUUCCAGGUGUAGCGGUGAAAUGCGUAGAUAUCUGGAGGAACACCGGUGGCGAAGGCGGCAUCCUGGACCGGUAUUGACGCUGAGGCGCGAAAGCCAGGGGAGCAAACGGG